rnacentral:rRNA from 1 species
AUUGAACGCUGGCGGCAGGCCUAACACAUGCAAGUCGAGCGAGCGGCGGACGGGUGAGUAAUGUCUGGGAAACUGCCUGAUGGAGGGGGAUAACUACUGGAAACGGUAGCCAAUACCGCAUACCAUCAGAUGUGCCCAGAUGGGAUUAGCUAGUAGGUGGGGUAACGGCUCACCUAGGCGACGCGCCCUAGCUGGGCUGAGAGGAUGACCAGCCAAACUGGAACUGAGGCACGGUCCAGACUCCUACGGGAGGCAGCAGUGGAGAAGAUGGCACAAUGGGCGAAAGCCUGAUGCAGCCAUGCCGCGUGUGUGAGUAAGGCCUUCGGGUUGUAAAGCACUUUCAGCGGGGAGGCGUUACCCGCAGAAGAAGCACCGGCUAACUCCGUGCCAGCAGCCGCGGUAAUAC